UACGUAGGGACCAAGCGUUGUCCGGAAUCAUUGGGCGUAAAGAGCGUGUAGGCGGCUUGUUAAGUCUUGCGUGAAAUCUCGGGGCUCAACCCCGAGCGGUCGUGAGAAACUGGCAGGCUAGAGUCCGGAAGAGGCGAGUGGAAUUCCUGGUGUAGCGGUGAAAUGCGCAGAUAUCAGGAGGAACACCAAUGGCGAAGGCAGCUCGCUGGGACGGUACUGACGCUGAGACGCGAAAGCGUGGGGAGCAAACAGG
rnacentral:rRNA from 1 species